CCUACGGGUGGCUGCAGUGAGGAAUAUUGGUCAAUGGACGCAAGUCUGAACCAGCCAAGCCGCGUGCAGGAAGACGGCUCUGUGAGUUGUAAACUGCUUUUGUACGAGGGUAAACGCAGAUACGCGUAUCUGUCUGAGAGUAUCGUACGAAUAAGGAUCGGCUAACUCCGUGCCAGCAGCCGCGGUAAUACGGAGGAUUCAAGCGUUAUCCGGAUUUAUUGGGUUUAAAGGGUGCGUAGGCGGGCGGAUAAGUUAGAGGUGAAAUCCCGGGGCUCAACUACGGGAUUGCAUUUGAUACUGUUCGGCUAGAGAGUAGUUGCGGUAAGCGGAAUGUAUGGUGUAGCGGUGAAAUGCUUAGAGA
rnacentral:rRNA from 1 species